rnacentral:rRNA from 1 species
CACUCCUACGGGAGGCAGCAGUGGGGAAUUUUGGACAAUGGGCGAAAGCCUGAUCCAGCAAUGCCGCGUGAGUGAAGAAGGCCUUCGGGUUGUAAAGCUCUUUUGUCAGGGAAGAAACGGUGAAAGCUAAUAUCUUUUGCUAAUGACGGUACCUGAAGAAUAAGCACCGGCUAACUACGUGCCAGCAGCCGCGGUAAUAUGUAGGGUGCAAGCGUUAAUCGGAAUUACUGGGCGUAAAGCGUGCGCAGGCGGUUUUGUAAGUCUGAUGUGAAAUCCCCGGGCUCAACCUGGGAAUUGCAUUGGAGACUGCAAGGCUAGAAUCUGGCAGAGGGGGGUAGAAUUCCACGUGUAGCAGUGAAAUGCGUAGAUAUGUGGAGGAACACCGAUGGCGAAGGCAGCCCCCUGGGUCAAGAUUGACGCUCAUGCACGAAAGCGUGGGGAGCAAACAGGAUUAGAAACCCGUGUAGUCCCAUGA